rnacentral:rRNA from 1 species
GACGAACGCUGGCGGCGUGCUUAACACAUGCAAGUCGAACGGUAAGGCCCUUCGGGGUACACGAGUGGCGAACGGGUGAGUAACACGUGGGUGAUCUGCCCUGCACUUCGGGAUAAGCCUGGGAAACUGGGUCUAACACCGGAUAGGACCACUGCCGGCAUGGGUGGUGGUGGAAAGCUUUUGCGGUGUGGGAUGGGCCCGCGGCCUAUCAGCGUGUUGGUGGGGUGUUGGCCUACCAAGGCGACGAAGGGUAGCCGGCCUGAGAGGGUGACCGGCCACACUGGGACUGAGAUACGGCCCAGACUCCUACGGGAGGCAGCAGUGGGGAAUAUUGCACAAUGGGCGCAAGCCUGAUGCAGCGACGCCGCGUGAGGGAUGACGGCCUUCGGGUUGUAAACCUCUUUCAGCACCGACGAAGCGCAAGUGACGGUAGGUGCAGAAGAAGGACCGGCCAACUACGUGCCAGCCGCCGCAGUAA